CUACGGGGUGCAGCAGUAAGGAAUAUUGCGCAAUGGAGGCAACUCUGACGCAGCCAUGCCGCGUGCAGGAAGAAGGCCUUAUGGGUCGUAAACUGCUUUUAUUUAGGAAUAAACCCUCGCUCGUGAGCGAGGCUGAAGGUACUGAAUGAAUAAGCACCGGCUAACUCCGUGCCAGCAGCCGCGGUAAUACGGAGGGUGCAAGCGUUAUCCGGAUUUAUUGGGUUUAAAGGGUGCGCAGGCGGGCUAUUAAGUCAGUGGUGAAAUCCCGGGGCUCAACUCCGGAACUGCCAUUGAUACUGAUAGUCUUGAGUUUGGUUGAAGUGGGCGGAAUGUAGCAUGUAGCGGUGAAAUGCAUAGAUAUGCUACAGAACACCAAUCGCGAAGGCAGCUCACUAAGCCAAAACUGACGCUCAUGCACGAAAGCGUGGGGAUCAAACAGGAUUAGAUACCCGGGUAGUC
rnacentral:rRNA from 1 species